CUUCUGUAUGCUUCCCAGCCACUAGGCUGUUUAUAGUAUAUAGUAAAUAAUCCAUAUUCAUCUUUACUCUGACCAGAGUGUUAAAUUCAUUUUAAGGAAAGGGUAAUUUACUACAAUGAAAUAAUGUAAUUUCUCAUACAUUCUCAUUUGUUUUAAUUGGAUGCUCUUCACCCUGACACUUGACAGUAUUGAUUUUUAACUUACCAUGAAUGUAUUUCUGUAGCUGACAGAUUGCAACAGCUGUAGCACUUCUGGAAGAGACCAUUUUCAUGAACGUGAUCCAGGCCUGCAUUUUACACACAAACUGCCUUGUUUCAGCUGCGUAUCAGAUUGGUUAGAAGGAAAGAAGGCAACAAGACCUUCAGUAGCUACACUGGGCAACAAAAAUCACAACCCUGGAGAUACAGGGAUGAUUUAGGAUUGGUACAUGUCUUGAUACAUCUUCACUAUGUCUAGGAUUCAGAAUGCAGCUGGAAUAUGGAUCCACACUAAGGACCUUGAAAACACUUGGCAUCUCAAAGCUCAGAUGACAAAGCCUACAGCUUCCUCUGUAUUAUUCAGUGUUACAGCUGAAUGUUCAUUAAAGGAAGGAUUUGUCUCUUUCCUGCACAUGGGAUGCUGUGUUAGUGAUACGGGCAUCAGUGUGGCAGUGACCCUUCCAGCAGACAGCCUUCUUAAUUUAAGGACACCAGUAGAGCCACCCAGGUUCCAGACUGCCGAGAGAAAUUUUGAAGCAAUGUUACGUCAACAUAUAGAAGACCACAAUGUGUCAUCUGCAAAAAAUAGUGGCAGAACCAGAUCUGAUAGAACCACUUUACUCAACCCGUCCUGACCUAGAUUUGGAGCCUGCACAAUAUAAUGAUGAGCUAUCAACAUCUUCUGGAUCAUGGGAUUUGCAAAUGUGAAGCAGUUUCAUACUAGUUUCAUGGGAGGAAACAAGCAUUUCUUUAUAGAUGCUCCAUGGUAUUUACUUGGGGUCCAUAUGCGAAUAUGGGGCUGUGAGAGAGGCAGAGAUCCAUUUAACCUUAAAACAUCAUUUGACACACAAGCAUCAGGAUGUUUUAUUUAGCCUUUAGUCCUUUGAGGAGGGGAACUGAUGAAAUUUUGCUUCCAAGGACUAAUUCCUUAUAGCUGAGUCUAUAGUGCAAUUAUGGAAUUAAAUCCUGAAAUAUUUCCCUGCUUUGGAAUAUGCACCCUGUUUUUUGUUUUGGUUUGGUUUUUUUUUGUAUGUGGA
rnacentral:lncRNA from 1 species